rnacentral:lncRNA from 1 species
GGGCAGACACACUGAAGUCGCUAGACAUUUGAGGAACACAUCCGGGGAAGAAGACACAGGUGGCUGGUCAUGGAGAGCCCGCUGGGGGAAGAGCACACAGACAGGCACCGGCAGGCCAUUGACCAGCGGGACAAGGUGGGCUCAAUGUCAUCACAAGGGUGCUUAAGAGGGAAAGAGGAAGCCAUGAGGGUCAGAGUCAAAGGAAGACUUGAAGAUACUACACUGCGGACUUUAAAGAUGAAGGAAGGGGCGAAAACCAAGAAUGUGGGAAGCCUCUAGAAGCUAGAGAAGGCAAGGAAACAAAUUUUCCACUAGAGCCUCCAGAAGGAACACAGCCCUGCUGACCCACUGUAAUGUCUGACCUCUAGAUGUGUAAGGGUAGUAAGACUGAAAGUCUCAGAAAGGCACUGUUAAAUUCUUAUUCCUCAACUAUGCAACUCAAAACUGGGGUCCUCAGCAGUGAGCGAGGGGUGAGAGAAGACACUGUAUAAACAUGGCACAUCCUCCUGGAAAGUCAACUUUACUCAAAGGUUCUUACACACAGUGACAGCUAGCAGAGUCUAAAAUGCUGACAUUAUGACUUAGAGAUGUGAUAAAGAGAAACAUCUAUUGCAUUUUCUGUGACAGUCUCAUGUUGGCCAUGGGGUACUCUCUGCGUCAUGCUAGAAAGAGUUUAUGGUCCCACCUGCAUCCAUGAGAAAGAGAAAACAAAGCUUCAAUUUUAAGUCCUUGGAAAUUCCAUGCCAUUAAGAAACUGCUACUGCCAGCUUUCUGGCGUUAUUCAAAGGGGUAAAAAGUUCAUUACACUAGUGUUCUUAUAAGUGUUGGUUUUAUUUCAUAUUAUUUGAAGAGCUAUUCUGCUUAGUAACAAUAAAUUGCUUGGAAGAUGUCAGACCUGUGUUUGGGUUAGGGGUUGCUUUUAGCUGCAAGUAAGAACACUCACAAAAGAGGGGCUUAAAUGCAACAAAAGGGGAAGGGCUAAGGGCAAAAGGCACAUGACUUCAGCAUCUGUCCCUUAUAGCGAUAACCAUAUUUUCUCUAGAUGCUCAUUGGACAGAACUAUUUCUCAUGGUCAAUCACAACCAAAAGACAGCUGGGGAAAUUCAGGAUUUUAACAGGGCACACUUCCUAUGCUGAACAAAAUCUGAGUUCUUAAUUUUAAAAAAGAAGAGAAUGAUAUUAGAGAGAUACAUGUUCCAUAAUAGUUAUUUAACUGUUCGUUUUUAAUAAACAUCACUUCAUAUCAAA